AGCGAACGCUGGCGGCAGGCCUAACACAUGCAAGUCGAACGAACUCUUCGGAGUUAGUGGCGGACGGGUGAGUAACACGUGGGAACGUGCCUUUAGGUUCGGAAUAACUCAGGGAAACUUGUGCUAAUACCGAAUGUGCUCUUCGGGGGAAAGAUUUAUCGCCUUUAGAGCGGCCCGCGUCCGAUUAGCUAGUUGGUGAGGUAAAGGCUCACCAAGGCGACGAUCAGUAGCUGGUCUGAGAGGAUGAUCAGCCACAUUGGGACUGAGACACGGCCCAAACUCCUACGGGAGGCAGCAGUGGGGAAUCUUGCGCAAUGGGCGAAAGCCUGACGCAGCCAUGCCGCGUGAAUGAUGAAGGUCUUAGGAUUGUAAAAUUCUUUCACCGGGGACGAUAAUGACGGUACCCGGAGAAGAAGCCCCGGCUAACUUCGUG
rnacentral:rRNA from 1 species